GCUGAGGUCUAUCCCGAUAGGAUCUCCUCCGUAGGUUCGUGUCGUUGGAAACGCCUCACAGAAUAAACUUGCGGUUUCGCUUACCCACUCAACUACCUGUUAGCUCUGUGGGAUAAAGCUGCAAGACAGAU
rnacentral:snoRNA from 1 species